AUGGUUGAUGAUAUUAGCAAGAUGUUUGACUGGCAGGAUGGUGUUGGCAAGAUUGACUACCAAAAAGCAAUGGAUGCCGAGAAAUUUGAGAAGCAGAAGGAAGAGCUAGAGCUGGAGAUGAAGAUGGAGAAGCUAAGGCUAGCAAAAGAACAGAGGUGUAUCCUUCAGGCCCAGGCAGACAUAAUUCACAACACCAGAAAGGCAAUGAAAGAGAUAAAGGUGGACAGGGAUCUUCUUGCACAAGAGAAGACAGAGCUUGAGAAAGUAGUUGCUGAUCUGCUGAAUGCUGGCCAUGGGAGCAAGGAAAAGCUUGAGAAAAUCAAGGCCAUACUGGAGGCUUGA
rnacentral:rRNA from 1 species